UUAAGGUGUAGCAAGGUUAUUCAGGUGGGAAGUGCAUAUCGGAAAUCAGGGGUAUAGUCAGUAAGACUGACAAUGGGCCUAUGAUAUGAUGCAUCCAAAAGAACAACGGAUCAACAUGUUUUUUCUCCAUUCACACUCAAAUUCGAACGUUUCACCCUUAACCUUCCCUCCUCUAUCUCACAUCCACACUGAAAAUCACUCUGUCACGCCGGAGGAGGCGGAGUGAUCCAGACACGUCAAUAAAUACUACCACCAGAAUCCUCCCUCUUCCCUCUUCCACAAUACAACCUUGCUUUUCCUUAAUUUUCCUCCUAUAGUCUGAAUCAAAACCUAAAGAGCAAGAACCCUAAGAAUUCAAUUCAAAAAUUAAAUAUCCAUGGAUGCCCCAAUCGAACCAAAAACAUGAGGGUUUACUUCAAUUGCUUCAACACUAUAUUGCGGUGUGUCUUUGAUGCGUCAAGAAGGAGUAAUGAAAGAUAACCAACCUAUGAGGGUUAAGGUGCCCAAGGUGGAAUGACCAAGGCUCCUUUAUGACAUGUUCAAGGCAAAUCAACGAAGACUUGGAGGCACAAAUAAGGGCAUAGCUUAUGAAUGAAGAAAAUGGGAACUUAGGGUUAGGAUUAGUGGUUGACUUUGGUCAAUUGGUUGACCAUAAAGUCAAUAGUUGACCAAAGUCAACUGUUAGGACAAAUUUUGGUUUUUUGUAUGUACUUUGGAAGUUGGAUUUGGAUGUUGUAUGAACUUGAAUCUUGGGUGUUGGUUGAUUUAAUGAUGAAACUUGAAUC